rnacentral:rRNA from 1 species
AGUGAACGCUGGCGGUAGGCCUGACACAUGCAAGUCGAACGGCAGCACAGUAAGAGCUUGCUCUUACGGGUGGCGAGUGGCGGACGGGUGAGGAAUACAUCGGAAUCUACUUUUUCGUGGGGGAUAACGUAGGGAAACUUACGCUAAUACCGCAUACGACCUACGGGUGAAAGCAGGGGAUCUUCGGACCUUGCGCGAGUGAAUGAGCCGAUGUCGGAUUAGCUAGUUGGCGGGGUAAAGGCCCACCAAGGCGACGAUCCGUAGCUGGUCUGAGAGGAUGAUCAGCCACACUGGAACUGAGACACGGUCCAGACUCCUACGGGAGGCAGCAGUGGGGAAUAUUGGACAAUGGGCGCAAGCCUGAUCCAGCCAUACCGCGUGGGUGAAGAAGGCCUUCGGGUUGUAAAGCCCUUUUGUUGGGAAAGAAAAGCAGCAGGUUAAUACCCCGCUGUUCUGACGGUACCCAAAGAAUAAGCACCGGCUAACUUCGUG